UACGGAGGGUGCAAGCGUUAUCCGGAAUCACUGGGUUUAAAGGGUGCGUAGGCGGAAUAAUAAGUCAGGCGUGAAAGGUUACGGCUCAACCGUAGACUUGCGUUUGAUACUGUUAUUCUUGAAUCAAGAUGAGGUUAGCGGAAUGCGACAUGUAGCGGUGAAAUGCAUAGAUAUGUCGUAGAACACCGAUUGCGAAGGCAGCUAACUGGACUUAGAUUGACGCUGAGGCACGAAAGCGUGGGGAGCGAACAGG
rnacentral:misc_RNA from 1 species